GACGAACGCUGGCGGCGUGCCUAAUACAUGCAAGUUGAGCGCUGAAGGUUGGUACUUGUACCAACUGGAUGAGCAGCGAACGGGUGAGUAACGCGUGGGGAAUCUGCCUUUGAGCGGGGGACAACAUUUGGAAACGAAUGCUAAUACCGCAUAAAAACUUUAAACACAAGUUUUAAGUUUGAAAGAUGCAAUUGCAUCACUCAAAGAUGAUCCCGCGUUGUAUUAGCUAGUUGGUGAGGUAAAGGCUCACCAAGGCGAUGAUACAUAGCCGACCUGAGAGGGUGAUCGGCCACAUUGGGACUGAGACACGGCCCAAACUCCUACGGGAGGCAGCAGGAGGGAAUCUUCGGCAAUGGACGAAAGUCUGACCGAGCAACGCCGCGUGAGUGAAGAAGGUUUUCGGAUCGUAAAACUCUGUUGGUAGAGAAGAACGUUGGUGAGAGUGGAAAGCUCAUCAAGUGACGGUAACUACCCAGAAAGGGCCGGCUAACUACGUG
rnacentral:rRNA from 1 species